CUGCAACAAAUCCUCUGGAUUAGGUUGAUGUCAUGUCCCCUAGGAAAGUAAAUUUUUUUUUCUGUUGUUGUUAGUUUAUUUUGGGGCAGAAUAGGGUCCUCAUGACUGCCUGGGUCCACGGCAUCCCUAGACUCCUAUGAAUUUGGAAUGCUGUCCAUCCAGCCCCGCCUGGUCAGAAGUCCAUAUAAUCCUGAUGAUAAUGAAAACCAGCAUGUAUAAAGCCCCUUCUGCAUGCCAGGGAGCUACUAUCACAAGAACGCCUCGCAACAAUGCAGGAGGUGAAGUACUGUUUUUAUUCUACCAAUUUUGCUGGGGUCUUAUGAGGCUGGUUACAGGGUAGAUGCAAAGUGCAGAGGGGCUGGGAGCCUGGGCCCCUUCAGGGCAUAGGGAAGCUGCAGCACCACCUCCAACCUUUGUCAUGGGGUGUGAGUGGGCACUGCCCUCUGGAUGGGAACUGAGCUUCCAAGGAGUCCGUGGUGUCCUGGUAGGCAGUGCUGUGAGAACCUCAAUCACUCUCCCUUCUCAUAGCCAUGGCCCCCAGACUCCAGC
rnacentral:lncRNA from 1 species